rnacentral:tRNA from 1 species
GGGGAUAUAGCUCAGUUGGUAGAGUGCUUGCCUUGCAUGCACAAGGCCCUGGAUUCAAUCCCUAGCCCCA